CUAUUUGGAGUCGGACCCAGCAUCUUCUUUCUCUCUGUCAUUUCGGUCCCCAUUCGUAUCGGAAGCGCUACUCGCACCGUUUCGAGCCUGCCUUUGUGUCUUGGGGGGUUGGUCUCCUUCGCCGUCCCUCUCAUCUCUCUGUGCGGAAGGAGAGCAACAAAAAUGGCGGCGAUCACGAGCGCGCUCAUAGCGAUCGCGGGAGUGGUGCUGGGUUGGAUCGCCAUCGAGAUCGCUUGCAAGCCUUGCCUCGAACGAGGCCGGGAAGCCAUCGACCGGUCCCUUAACCCUGAUUACGACCCCGACGACGACCGCAGCGGCAAUGGUCGCGCCCCUCUGAUCGCUCCCAACCCUAGCCCUGACACCCUAGAUUCGGAGCCGAAGAAGCCUAUCGACGCCGCACCCGCCGUUCCUUCCAAGAUCGCGUGAUCAAUGCUCUCUUGCUCUUCUGGGUUUCGACGAUACGUCCGAUCCGCGAUUGUUCUUCUUCUGCUCCGAUUAGAUGUUCUCUCCGUUUUGCUGUGAUUUUUGUUUUCUGGGUUUGUAAUCUGUCCGCAAAUUGAAAGGAAUGGAAUCGGAUGGAAGAUGUGCAUUUUCAUUUUGCUUUCA